GAUUAACGCUGGCGGCGUGCCUAAUACAUGCAAGUCGAACGGACCUUUAUUUUUGAGAAUCUCGCGAGCAAUUGUCGAGCGUCUCAUAAAUAAUGGUUAGUGGCGGACGGGUGAGUAACACGUUGGUACCUAUCCUCUAGUGGGGAAUAACUGGCCGAAAGGUCGGCUAAUACCGCAUGUGGUCUUCGGAUCAAAGCAGCAAUGCGCUAGAGGAGGGGCCUGCGUCUGAUUAGCUAGUUGGUAGUGUAAUGGACUACCAAGGCGACGAUCAGUAGCUGGUUCGAGAGGAUGAACAGCCACACUGGGACUGAGAUACGGCCCAGACUCCUACGGGAGCAGCAGUAAGGAAUCUUCCACAAUGGACGAAAGUCUGAUGGAGCAACGCCGCGUGCAGGAUGAAGGC
rnacentral:rRNA from 1 species